GUUUGAUUGGUUGAUGCCUUGGAGAUCAAUUAUUCUGAAAUAGUAAGUUCAAUCUGGCAUCAUUCAAAGUCAUCUCUCCCACAAUCACCUGAAGGAAUGAUAAUACGGCAGGAAACCAAGAAAAAUUAAGGAUUUUUAAAGCCUCCACUGCAAAAAAGAAUGGGUUCUUAUAGUCACCGUGACCUUGGUGCAGGGUAUUUUCUGGGGGAUUGAUGCCCUUCUCGGACGAUCAACUCUCCCAGCUGAUCAUUAAUCCCCAGACAGUGCCCCUGUCUGUAUCACCAUUGUUUAAUUCAAUUAUUUGUGGUGUGGGCUUUACUUUGUGAAUAUUUUAUUGUUCAGUGGGGCUCCCUGACUUUCCUCUCUGCCUGUGCAAUUCUAUUUCUUUGACAUAGACCAGAUCCCGUUUGCAUUCCCUCACACACUCAGAGCUAUCUCUAAUUCAUGGAGAGGAAAAUAUAUGUGCAUUCACAGAUACAGAUAUGGUUAUGCGAACAUUUUGUGUGGAAAUAUUUAUAAACAAAUUCAAAUAGACUAUUAAUGAACAUAUAUGCCAGUUUUAUAAAUCACUGUAGGUUGUUUUAUCAGAGUGUGCACUUUUAUAGGCCAGAAUUGGGUAUCACCAUUUAGAUAAGGUUGGAUGUUACUAGUUGAAUAAACAGUUAUAGUCUCUUAACAUAAGAAUGGAAUUUAAAUAUUAGAAGCAGAAAAAAAUGCAAUGUGAAUAAUCAUCUCAGGGUGCAGGUAUCUGGUAUCUGGGCCAAUGCCCAUGUCUACACAUGGUUAAGGACUAUGUACCUUCAGACUGAUGGGCAGAUGGGCACGGCACCUAGCAUUCAGCAUUCAUGGCCAGAGAGAUCAGGUUCAAAUCUCAGCUCCAUCCUGAGACUAGAGUGCUUUGAAUGCAUUGCUACUUCCCCUAUUAGGUACCUAGGGAGCAUUACUACUCCAGUGCUUCUGAGAGGGUUAAACGUGGAGCUAUCACAUGGUUCAUUCUUGUGAAUUGUAUGCAGACAUAUUC
rnacentral:lncRNA from 1 species